rnacentral:rRNA from 1 species
AGAGUUCGAUCCUGGCUCAGGAUGAACGCUGGCGGCGUGCCUAACACAUGCAAGUCGAACGAGAUGCGUAUCGGAAAGCUUCGGCCGGAAGAUACGUUAUCUAGUGGCGGACGGGUGAGUAACACGUGGGUAACCUGCCUUAUGGAGGGGGAUAACAGAGAGAAAUCACUGCUAAUACCGCAUAAGCACACAGUACCGCAUGGUACAGGGUGAAAAGAUUUAUCGCCAUAAGAUGGACCCGCGUCUGAUUAGCCAGUUGGCAGGGUAAAAGCCUACCAAAGCAACGAUCAGUAGCCGAUCUGAGAGGAUGACCGGCCACAUUGGGACUGAGACACGGCCCAAACUCCUACGGGAGGCAGCAGUGGGGAAUAUUGCACAAUGGGGGAAACCCUGAUGCAGCGACGCCGCGUGAGUGAAGAAGUAUUUCGGUAUGUAAAGCUCUAUCAGCAGGGAAGAUAAUGACAGUACCUGACUAAGAAGCCCCGGCUAACUACGUGCCAGCAGCCGCGGUAAUACGUAGGGGGCAAGCGUUAUCCGGAUUUACUGGGCGUAAAGAGCUCGUAGGUGGUGUGUCGCGUCGUCUGUGAAAUUCCGGGGCUUAACUCCGGGCGUGCAGGCGAUACGGGCACGACUAGAGUGCUGUAGGGGUAACUGGAAUUCCUGGUGUAGCGGUGAAAUGCGCAGAUAUCAGGAGGAACACCGAUGGCGAAGGCAGGUUACUGGGCAGUUACUGACGCUGAGGAGCGAAAGCAUGGGGAGCGAACAGGAUUAGAUACCCUGGUAGUCCAUGCUGUAAACGGUGGGCGCUAGGUGUGGGCUGUGUGUUUGCAGUCUGUGCCGUAGCUAACGCAUUAAGCGCCCCGCCUGGGGAGUACGGCCGCAAGGCUAAAACUCAAAGGAAUUGACGGGGGC